GGUCCAGACUCCUACGGGAGGCAGCAGUGGGGAAUAUUGGACAAUGGGCGAAAGCAUGAUCCAGCCAUGCCGCGUGUGUGAAGAAGGUCUUCGGAUUGUAAAGCACUUUAAGUUGGGAGGAAGGGCAGUAAGUUAAUACCUUGCUGUUUUGACGUUAUCAACAGAAUAAGCACCGGCAAACUUCGUGCCAGCAGCCGCGGUAAUACGACGGGUGCAAGCGUUAAUCGGAAUUACUGGGCGUAAAGCGCGCGUAGGUGGUUUGGUAAGAAGGAUGUGAAAUCCCCGGGCUCAACCUGGGAACUGCAUCCAUAACUGCCUGACUAGAGUACGGUAGAGGGUGGUGGAAUUUCCUGUGUAGCGGUGAAAUGCGUAGAUAUAGGAAGGAACACCAGUGGCGAAGGCGACCACCUGGACUGAUACUGACAC
rnacentral:rRNA from 1 species